rnacentral:rRNA from 1 species
AGUCACUGACAUUAGAUACCCGCGUAGUCCCAGCCCUAAACGAUGCGCGUUAGGUGUAUCGGUGACCACGAGUCACCGAGGUGCCGAAGGGAAACCGUGAAACGUGCCGCCUGGGAAGUACGGUCGCAAGGCUGAAACUUAAAGGAAUUGGCGGGGGAGCACCACAACGGGUGGAGCUUGCGGUUUAAUUGGAUUCAACGCCGGAAAUCUUACCGGGACCGACAGCAACAUGAAGGCCAGGCUGAAGACUUUGCCGGAUUAGCUG